rnacentral:sRNA from 1 species
ACGGCUGGAAAUAGCCCUCAUUGCCGAAAACCAUCAGGUAGUGGCGAUCAAAGCAAGCCUAAUUGCACAAAGGACAGCACAUCUGGUAGUGGUGAAGGUGGAAAAGGCUAUACCAAAGACCAAGUAGAUGGAGUUCUCAGGGGAUUUUUCUGAAGAAAGCCAUGUUAUCUUGUUGGUUAGCACGAUUAUGCAAACAAGUUGCUCAGUGACAAUUUGGCUCAAUGGGGAGAAGUCUUGCAAUAAUACUGCAUCCGUUGCAUAACAUAAACAAAUGUAAAAAUUACUAUGAAGUACUUGGAGUUACGAAAGAUGCUGGUGAUGAAGAUUUGAAAAAAGCUUAUAGAAAGCUUGCUUUGAAGUUUCAUCCAGACAAAAACCAUGCACCUGGAGCAACAGAUGCUUUUAAAA